AUUGAACGCUGGCGGCAGGCCUAACACAUGCAAGUCGAACGAGCGGCGGACGGGUGAGUAAUGUAUGGGGACUGCCCGAUAGAGGGGGAUAACUACUGGAAACGGUGGCUAAUACCGCAUACUAUCGGAUAACCCAUAUGGGAUUAGCUUGUAGGUGGGGUAACGGCUCACCUAGGCGACGAUCCCUAGCUGGUCUGAGAGGAUGAUCAGCCACACUGGGAUUGAGACACGGCCCAGACUCCUACGGAGGCAGCAGUGGGGAAUAUUGCACAAUGGGCGCAAGCCUGAUGCAGCAAUGCCGCGUGUAUGAAGAAGGCCUUCGGGUUGUAAAGUACUUUCAGUCGGGAGGCGUUACCGACAGAAGAAGCACCGGCUAACUCCGUGCCAGCAGCCGCGGUAAUUC
rnacentral:rRNA from 1 species